UACGUAGGUGGCAAGCGUUGUCCGGAUUUAUUGGGCGUAAAGAGCUCGUAGGCGGCUUGGUAAGUCGGGUGUGAAACCCCCGGGCUCAACCCGGGGACGCCACCUGAUACUGCUAUGGCUUGAGUCCGGUAGGGGAGCGUGGAAUUCCAGGUGUAGUGGUGAAAUGCGUAGAUAUCUGGAGGAACACCGGUGGCGAAGGCGGCAUCCUGGACCGGUAUUGACGCUGAGGCGCGAAAGCUGGGGGAGCAAACCGG
rnacentral:rRNA from 1 species